rnacentral:rRNA from 1 species
GACGAACGCUGGCGGCGUGCCUAAUACAUGCAAGUAGAACGCUGAAGAGAGGAGCUUCCUCUUCUUGGAUGAGUUGCGAACGGGUGAGUAACGCGUAGGUAACCUGCCUUGUAGCGGGGGAUAACUAUUGGAAACGAUAGCUAAUACCGCAUAACAAUGGAUGACACAUGUCAUUUAUUUGAAAGGGGCAAUUGCUCCACUACAAGAUGGACCUGCGUUGUAUUAGCUAGUAGGUGAGGUAAUGGCUCACCUAGGCGACGAUACAUAGCCGACCUGAGAGGGUGAUCGGCCACACUGGGACUGAGACACGGCCCAGACUCCUACGGGAGGCAGCAGUAGGGAAUCUUCGGCAAUGGGGGCAACCCUGACCGGGCAACGCCGCGUGAGUGAAGAAGGUUGUCGGAUCGUAAAGCUCUGUUGUAAGUCAAGAACGGGUGUGAGAGUGGAAAGUUCACACUGUGACGGUAGCUUACCAGAAAGGGACGGCUAACUACGUG